rnacentral:rRNA from 1 species
GAUGAACGCUGGCGGCGUGCCUAAUACAUGCAAGUCGAGCGAACAGACGAGGAGCUUGCUCCUCUGACGUUAGCGGCGGACGGGUGAGUAACACGUGGAUAACCUACCUAUAAGACUGGGAUAACUUCGGGAAACCGGAGCUAAUACCGGAUAAUAUAUUGAACCGCAUGGUUCAAUAGUGAAAGACGGUUUUGCUGUCACUUAUAGAUGGAUCCGCGCCGCAUUAGCUAGUUGGUAAGGUAACGGCUUACCAAGGCAACGAUGCGUAGCCGACCUGAGAGGGUGAUCGGCCACUCUGGAACUGAGACGCGAUCCAGACACCGACGGGAGGCAGAAGUAGGGAAUCUACCGCAAUGGGCGAAAGCCUGACGGAGCAACGCCGCGUGAGUGAUGAAGGGCUUCGGAUCGUAAAACUCUGUUAUUAGGGAAGAACAAAUGUGUAAGUAACGAUGCACGUCUGGAGGGUACCGAAUCAGAAAGCCACGGCAAACUACGU